GCGCGAGAAGGCGUUUGUAUAUAAGGACCAGACACUCUGUGCUGAAGGAAUUCCCAAUUCAUUCAAUCACAGGGUGCGUCAAUGGAGGCGCCGAGGAAGCUUUGUAGCCCAUAGCCAUAUCUCUUCUUCCAAAACCUAACGAAAGAGACGAUCCAAAUCCCAAUCCAACUUCAAUGUCAUCACCACUCUCUAUCUCUUCUUCUCGCCGCCGUUUCCAUCCCUCCAGAGCGCACAGGCAUCGCUUCUCGUUCGAUCAUAUCGCUCUGUAUGAAUGAACUGAUUGCUUCGAAUGAUGCGGUUGUGAGAGAUUUGAUCGCGACCUUUGCGUAUUCGAAGAGAAGAGUUGCGUUGGCUGCUUGUAAUGCUGUUAUGGAUUUGUCCACCGCGUUGUUUGGGCGGCGGAGGUUGGUAGAGGUCUCUCCCAUUGGGUGUCUUAUGUUCUCUGGGUUUGGCUAGUCAAUAUGGUGAUCAUUGUGUGUUUGUAUUGCCGUCAGAUAUUGUCCGUUUUGGUUCGUUCGCCGUCAGCCGAUGUGGGAUCUAUCCACCUCCUUAGGGGCCGGCGUUAAAAGGUCUUCCUUCAGAGGCGAAAGUCUGAGGAUGAGAAUGAAAGGGAUCCACAGAAAGAAGAUAGAAGAGGGCAGUAAAGAGCAGGAAACAUUGAAUAAAAUGUGAGUAUCUCAUUUCUUGACUUUGUCUGCCAAAAUAAAGAUGAGGUUAUCUUGGGAUGGAAAGAGAUGGGUUUGCAGCAAUAUAUAUAGGCCAGGCUUAUGAUUUUGUUGCUAAUUCAGAAUGAAACAGACACAAUACCAACCAAGAAUCCAGACAACUGCCUCUGUCUUCAACCCAUUUACCUUUUUUUCAGCCGACUUAACUGGUUGAAAUUUCACGUGUUCGUUCCAUGCCAAACAGAACCUCUCAUGGCAUGGCCAGAUUGUUCAUCGCUGUUUUUACUCUUUGGCUCUCUCUCUCUCUCCCCCCUAUCUUUAUCCUGUCAGUUACAUGGUAAUAGAUGCUCGAUGCCAUUUUAGGAAAAUAAAAUCCUGCAUUUUCUUUCCUGGUUUUAAAAAAAUGAAAAAAAGCCCAUCUUUUCGCUGUCUCUAGAUCUAUUCUUACUCGAGUGAUAAGUUUGGAUUUUGGAUGAUGGGUGUAACGGCCCAAAGCCGGUAUCAGAUAUUGCUUUGUUUUAAGGCU